UACAUGGGGGGCAAGCGUUGUUCGGAAUUACUGGGCGUAAAGGGUGCGUAGGUGGUUUGUUAAGUCACGGGUGAAAGUUUUCGGCCCAACCGGAAAAUUGCCUGUGAUACUGGCGAACUUGAGUGCGUGAGGGGUAACCGGAACGAGCAGUGUAGCGGUGAAAUGCGUAGAUAUUGCUCGGAAGGCCAGAGGCGAAGGCGGGUUACUGGUACGCAACUGACACUGAGGCACGAAAGCGUGGGGAGCAAACAGG
rnacentral:rRNA from 1 species